AUACGUAGGUGGCGAGCGUUGUCCGGAAUUAUUGGGCGUAAAGCGCGCGUAGGCGGGAUAUUAAGUCUCAUUUAAAAGUGCGGGGCUCAACCCCGUGAUGGGUGAGAAACUAAUAUUCUUGAGUGCCGGAGAGGAAAGCGGAAUUCCCAGUGUAGCGGUGAAAUGCGUAGAUAUUGGGAGGAACACCAGUGGCGAAGGCGGCUUUCUGGACGGUGUCUGACGCUGAGGCGCGAAAGCCAGGGGAGCGAACGGGAUUAGAUACCCCGGUAGUCCUGGCCGUAAACGAUGGGUACUAGGUGUAGGGGGUAUCGACCCCCCCUGUGCCGGAGUUAACGCAAUAAGUACCCCGCCUGGGGAGUACGGCCGCAAGGUUGA
rnacentral:rRNA from 1 species